GGCGAACGGGUGAGUAACACGUGGGUGAUCUGCCCUGCACUUCGGGAUAAGCCUGGGAAACUGGGUCUAAUACCGGAUAUGACCUCCUAUCGCAUGGUGGGUGGUGGAAAGAUUUAUCGGUGCAGGAUGGGCCCGCGGCUUAUCAGCUUGUUGGUGGGGUAAUGGCCUACCAAGGCGACGACGGGUAGCCGACCUGAGAGGGUGACCGGCCACACUGGGACUGAGACACGGCCCAGACUCCUACGGGAGGCAGCAGUGGGGAAUAUUGCACAAUGGGCGAAAGCCUGAUGCAGCGACGCCGCGUGAGGGAUGACGGCCUUCGGGUUGUAAACCUCUUUCAGCAGGGACGAAGCGCAAGUGACGGUACCUGCAGAAGAAGCACCGGCUAACUACGUGCCAGCAGCCGCGGUAAUACGUAGGGUGCAAGCGUUGUCCGGAAUUACUGGGCGUAAAGAGUUCGUAGGCGGUUUGUCGCGUCGUUUGUGAAAACCAGCAGCUCAACUGCUGGCUUGCAGGCGAUACGGGCAGACUUGAGUACUGCAGGGGAGACUGGAAUUCCUGGUGUAGCGGUGAAAUGCGCAGAUAUCAGGAGGAACACCGGUGGCGAAGGCGGGUCUCUGGGCAGUAACUGACGCUGAGGAACGAAAGCGUGGGUAGCGAACAGGAUUAGAUACCCUGGUAGUCCACGCCGUAAACGGUGGGCGCUAGGUGUGGGUUCCUUCCACGGAAUCCGUGCCGUAGCUAACGCAUUAAGCGCCCCGCCUGGGGAGUACGGCCGCAAGGCUAAAACUCAAAGGAAUUGACGGGGGCCCGCACAAGCGGCGGAGCAUGUGGAUUAAUUCGAUGAUACGCGAGGAACCUUACCUGGGCUUGAAAGUUAGCGACCGCUGCCGAAAGGUGGCUUCCCUUCGGGCGCGAAACUAGUGCUGCAUGGCUGUCGUCAGCUCGUGCCGUGAGUGUUGGGUUAAGUCCCGCACGAGCGCACCCCUAUCUCUAGUACAUCAGUAGCUGGGCACUCUAGAGGACUGCUACGUAGUA
rnacentral:rRNA from 1 species